rnacentral:rRNA from 1 species
UGGGGAAUAUUGCUCAAUGGGCGCAAGCCUGAAGCAGCGACGCCGCGUGAGGGAUGAAGGCCUUCGGGUUGUAACCUCUUUCAGCGCCGAAGAAGCGAAAGUGACGGUAGGCGCAGAAGAAGCACCGGCUAACUACGUGCCAGCAGCCGCGGUAAUACGUAGGGUGCAAGCGUUGUCCGGAAUCAUUGGGCGUAAAGAGCUCGUAGGCGGUCUGUCGCGUCUGCUGUGAAAACCUGGGGCUUAACCCCGGGCCUGCAGUGGGUACGGGCAGACUAGAGUGCGGUAGGGGAGACUGGAAUUCCUGGUGUAGCGGUGAAAUGCGCAGAUAUCAGGAGGAACACCGGUGGCGAAGGCGGGUCUCUGGGCCGUAACUGACGCUGAGGAGCGAAAGCAUGGGUAGCGAACAGG